rnacentral:rRNA from 1 species
GAUCAUGGCUCAGGAUGAACGCUAGCUACAGGCUUAACACAUGCAAGUCGAGGGGAAACGACAUCGAAAGCUUGCUUUUGAUGGGCGUCGACCGGCGCACGGGUGAGUAACGCGUAUCCAACCUGCCCACCACUUGGGGAUAACCUUGCGAAAGUAAGACUAAUACCCAAUGAUAUCCCUAGAAGACAUCUGAAAGGGAUUAAAGAUUUAUCGGUAGGGGAUGGGCAUGCGGCGCAUUAGCUAGUUGGCGGGGCAACGGCCCACCAAGGCGACGAUGCGUAGGGGUUCUGAGAGGAAGGUCCCCCACACUGGUACUGAGACACGGACCAGACUCCUACGGGAGGCAGCAGUGAGGAAUAUUGGUCAAUGGGCGAGAGCCUGAACCAGCCAAGUAGCGUGCAGGAUGACGGCCCUAUGGGUUGUAAACUGCUUUUAUAAGGGAAUAAAGUGAGUCUCGUGAGACUUUUUGCAUGUACCUUAUGAAUAAGGACCGGCUAAUUCCGUG